GCUAGCUUUAGGAAUGUUGUCUAAUGGUUU
rnacentral:piRNA from 1 species